rnacentral:tRNA from 1 species
GCGCCUCUAGCUCAACUGGCAGAGCAACGGACUCUUAAUCCGCAGGUUGGGGGUUCAAGUCCCCCGAGGCGCACCA